AGAGAGAGAGCAAAAAGAAGAAUCGUAAUAGCUUAUAAAUAUUGUUAGUUCAUAAGCAGGUUGCAUCUUACAAAUCAACAACAGAGUUAUACCUGAGGCAGGAAAAAUGUAUCAUACCCAUAAGCCUUUGUUUGAGCCCAAUAAGAAAGUUGGAAAUGUUAUUUCACAUGAAGGAUUGUGAACUUGUAGAUGUAAUGAAUCCAUCAAAAUUUGGUGCUAUGAAAGGGAUGGAGGGGGGUACAAAAGCUGAAUCUGAAGAGGUAAUUGAUGUGAAAGUUGAAGAUCCUGAAAUUGCAUCAAAGAGUCCUGUUUUUUCUCGUCUUCCAUCGCGUAGGGAUACUGAAUUAGCACCAUUGUGUUUGUGUCCAAAAGGAAGUUGGAAAGCAAUUUGCUGUUUCUUCAUGCUGGGUUGCCUUGUCACAGUUAUCCUUUUUAUCAUUGAUAUCUUUCAUCAUCUUCAUGAUCAUCACAAAUAAAGUUACAUGAAAUUUCUCAAUUGGAAAAUGAAAAAUGAUGUUAGAAUGUUUUUACACACAUGUUAGUUCAUUUACUCUGAGUUUGUCAUAUUCUUUUAAGAGAUGAUUUAUUAGAGAAGAGAUUAAACAUUCAACCUAUCAAA